rnacentral:ncRNA from 1 species
ACGCACUUCUGGCAAACUAUUUGAAAGAAUAGGACGCAAAGCCACCGGUCUGUCGACAAAUAUUCUGUCUAUGAUAGCGGAGCCGCCACU